rnacentral:rRNA from 1 species
GAUGAACGCUGGCGGCGCGCCUAACACAUGCAAGUCGAACGGCACCUGCCUUCGGGUGGAAGCGAGUGGCGAACGGCUGAGUAACACGUGGAGAACCUGCCCCCUCCCCCGGGAUAGCCGCCCGAAAGGACGGGUAAUACCGGAUACCCCGGGGUGCCGCAUGGCACCCCGGCUAAAGCCCCGACGGGAGGGGAUGGCUCCGCGGCCCAUCAGGUAGACGGCGGGGUGACGGCCCACCGUGCCGACAACGGGUAGCCGGGUUGAGAGACCGACCGGCCAGAUUGGGACUGAGACACGGCCCAGACUCCUACGGGAGGCAGCAGUGGGGAAUCUUGCGCAAUGGGGGGAACCCUGACGCAGCGACGCCGCGUGCGGGACGGAGGCCUUCGGGUCGUAAACCGCUUUCAGCAGGGAAGAGUCAAGACUG